GCCGAGGUGGCGGAACUGGCAGACGCGCCAGCUUGAGGGGCUGGUAUCCGUUAAGGAUGUGUGGGUUCGAGUCCCAUCCUCGGCACCA
rnacentral:tRNA from 1 species